UCAGGGAGAGUGAGGAGAGUGUGACACACAUAGACUGAGAGACAGAGUCCUGUGUGUACAAUUGUGCAGAGCUGAGACUGGCAGGAUAUGGGCCCAGCCCCGCGUAUUUGAGUCAUAGCCCAGAACAGAGAUACACAGAACAAAAGAACAACAGAUUAAUUUAAAGAAACAUUUUAUGAGAAGAUGCAUAGCACAGGGCACAGCACGAACUCUGAAAAAUUCAAAGGUUCAGAGAACUACACUACAUGGAAGUUUGUCAUGGAGAUGCAGCUUAAGCGGGAAAAAUUGUGGAAGGUCCCAGGAGCAGGUCCUAACCCAGAUGAUGUAGACAGAGCCAUCGGCAUGAUAGGCUUAGCUGUGGAGCAGCAUGUUUAUUCUAUAUUCAGUGGGAAAGUGUCGGCUAAGGACAUGUGGACAGCCCUUCACUAGGUGUAUGAGGACAGAGGUCUGAUGAGGGCAGACUUGCUGUGUGGAUCUUCUCCGACCUUUCAGAAAUCUCCUGAUAAUUUGCUCUCCGUUUCUGCCUUCGAAAACUUCUUCACAGGCCAUACUGUUCCAGCUCAUUGACACAGUUUCGUCAUACAGUAUUUGACCGACAAAAGACAAAGAAUGCAGACUACCAGAUUUUACGGGAGUGCCAAAACCCACCCAUCAGUGGCACAGAAACUUGCUGCAGUAGUCCCACAAAA